GGGCCUGUGGCUCAGCCAGGUUAGAGCGGCUGGCUCUUAACCAGCAUGUCGUGGGAGAUGCGUCAGGCAUCCA
rnacentral:tRNA from 1 species